UAAUACGGAGGGUGCAAGCGUUAAUCGGAAUUACUGGGCGUAAAGCGCGCGUAGGCGGUUUGUUAAGUCGGAUGUGAAAGCCCUGGGCUCAACCUGGGAACUGCAUCCGAUACUGGCAGGCUAGAGUACGGUAGAGGGGGGUAGAAUUCCACGUGUAGCGGUGAAAUGCGUAGAGAUGUGGAGGAAUACCAGUGGCGAAGGCGGCCCCCUGGACUGAUACUGACGCUAAGGUGCGAAAGCGUGGGGAGCAAACAGGAUUAGAUACCCUGGUAGUCCACGCUGUAAACGAUGUCAACUAGCCGUUGGAAGGGUAAUCCUUUUAGUGGCGUAGCUAACGCGCUAAGUUGACCGCCUGGGGAGUACGGUCGCAAGAUUA
rnacentral:rRNA from 1 species